rnacentral:misc_RNA from 1 species
AGAAUAAUAUAGUUGCCUUUUGAUUAAGUUCUGACACAUUCAGGUCAUAUCUUUUUUGGCUAACAAUGAAUGAUACCUGUAGACCAUACGGAUACCAAAAUUUCCAUUUUCUUUUACUGACUAUAGUAACCUAGGCCAGCUUAGGUUGACUUUCUGCAAUCCUCUUCUGCUUUCAUAAAAUAUUCUUUCUGCUGAAACCAUGGAUGGCUUAUCCUUCUCUGUUGCCUCUACUUAGGGCCUUUCUCUUAUUAUUUUAGCGCCCUCACCAUAUCUGAACUUUUUAUUGUAUAGUGUAUACAAUUGCUUUUUGAAAGUUCAAUGACUUCUUGAUGGAGUAAUGCUGUAUAUUCAACAACAAUUAGACUACGCUUGAAUAGUACUGGUGUAUUAAUUAUUUGUAGAAAAAUACACAGAGCUACAUUCUUUUUAAAUGUCCUUUACAUUUUAAAAGAAGUCAUUGAUAAUGAUGUAUGAUGACAUCUACGAGAUUUAGUUAUUAGAUUUGGAUGAAUACUGCAUGUUCUUUUAAAUUGACUUGGUCUGGUUGUGAAUAUGGUAAAUAUUAAUUCUGAAUUGUUGCUUUUGUUUGUUACCAAAUCAAUUGAUGCAGGAGAUGACCAUCUACCAGGAAAG